UACAGAGGGUGCAAGCGUUGUUCGGAAUUACUGGGCGUAAAGCGCGUGUAGGCGGCGAUAUAAGUCGGAUGUGAAAAUCCCUCGGCUUAACCGAGGAAGUGCACCCGAUACUGUGUCGCUUGAGUACCGGAGGGGAUGGCGGAAUUCCCGGUGUAGAGGUGAAAUUCGUAGAUAUCGGGAGGAACACCAGUGGCGAAGGCGGCGACCUGGGCCAAUACUGACGCUGAGGUGCGAAAGCGUGGGGGAGCAAACAGG
rnacentral:rRNA from 1 species